rnacentral:rRNA from 1 species
UUGGAGGGCAAGUCUGGUGCCAGCAGCCGCGGUAAUUCCAGCUCCAAUAGCGUAUAUUAAAGUUGUUGCAGUUAAAAAGCUCGUAGUUGAAUUUCGGGGUCAGUAGGUUGGUCAUGCCACUGGUAUGUACUGGUCUCACUGAUUCCUCCUUCCUGAUGAGCUGUAAUGCCAUUAAUUUGGUGUUGCGGGGAAUCUGGACUGUUACUUUGAAAAAAUUAGAGUGUUUAAAGCAGGCUAACGCCUGAAUACAUUAGCAUGGAAUAAUGAAAUAGGACGUUCGAUCCUAUUUUGUUGGUUUCUAGGAUUGACGUAAUGAUUAAUAGGGAUAGUUGGGGGCAUUAGUAUUCAAUUGUCAGAGGUGAAAUUCUUGGAUUUAUUGAAGACUAACUACUGCGAAAGCAUUUGCCAAGGAUGUUUUCAUUAAUCAAGAACGAAAGUUAGGGGAUCGAAGACGAUCAGGUACCGUCGUAGUCUUAACCAUAAACUAUGCCGACUAGGGAUCGGAUGAUGUUAAUUUUUUAAUGACUCAUUCGGCGCCUUACGGGAAAC